rnacentral:rRNA from 1 species
GAUGAACGCUAGCGGCAGGCCUAAUACAUGCAAGUCGAACGAUAGAAGAGGGCUUGCUCUCUUCGAAAGUGGCGCACGGGUGCGUAACGCGUAUGCAACCUACCUUAAUCAGGGGGAUAGCCCGAAGAAAUUCGGAUUAACACCGCAUAAAAUCACAGUACAGCAUUGUACAAUGAUCAAAUAUUUAUAGGAUUAAGAUGGGCAUGCGUGACAUUAGCUAGUUGGCGGGGUAACGGCCCACCAAGGCGACGAAGUCUAGGGGAUCUGAGAGGAUGACCCCCCACACGGGUACUGGGACACGGACCAGACUCCUACGGGAGGCAGCAGUAAGGAAUAUUGGUCAAUGGAGGCAACUCUGAACCAGCCAUGCCGCGUGCAGGAAGACGGCCCUCUGGGUUGUAAACUGCUUUUAUUCGGGAAUAAACCUCAUUAUGUAUAGUGAGCUGAAUGUACCGAAGGAAUAAGGAUCGGCUAACUCCGUGCCAGCCGCCGCAGUAA